GUGCCAACCAGCGAUAAACCUCACCGAAGAAGAAGAAGAAGAAGAAGAAGAAGAAGGGCGAAGCAACGCGAAGGUAGGCCAUGGCUCGCGGUCAACAGAAGAUUCAAUCCCAGCAAAAGAACGCCAAGGCUGCAGCUGCUAAGAAGAAGGGAGCGGCAGCAGACCAGAAGACUGCAGCCAAGGCAGCACUGGUCCACACCUGUCCCGUCUGUCGGACGCAGAUGCCGGACCCGAAGACGUUCAAGCAGCACUUUGAGAGCAAGCAUCCCAAAUCCCCAAUGCCCCCAGAGCUGGAUGAUGUUGAGGCUUAAAAGACCAACGCACACAAUGGACCUACAGCUGGGUUAAGAUGCUCUCAUCAUUCAGACUCCCAGUUUACAUACACACGAUGACCACGAUUAGAGCGCUGCAACUGGAACUUAAUGGCGUCAAGAGACAAAAUACUGAGACCCCUGGACAUGGGUGGGGGAUAUUUGUGACAAUGACCUAAAAAGGGGGCAGAAGCACACCAGCACCCCAUCUUCUAUGUCCAACCACCCCUCACCUUCAGACUCUUUUGAAGCACCCAUCUUAAUGAUAUGAGCCCACUCUACCUACAGCCCUUUUCCCCAUGCUGCUUCCUUCAUUAAUACCUGAUUCAGUAACAUCUAGACUGUUACACGUCUAAAAGUGUCAGGGUGUUACUGUUUUUGCAACUUUUUCUCAGUUGUGUAUCGCAGUCUUACUUUAACCCACAACUCUUUUUAUACCUCCUCCCAUACACUCUUGUGCAAAUAAUUUCUGCUUUCUUUGAGAAUGGUGUCAUAGUGGAAAGGAUUUGUUAUUUGCCUAAGACUGAGUCUUGUUCUGCCUGUAAAAGGCCCUGGUUGAAACAGUGCCAAAUCACUGUGGAUAGUCACCUGGUCCACGUUGUAACAGUUGUAUUUUGCAUUUGACCAUUUCCAAGAAAUGUAGCAAUAUAUAUGAAAUCAUUCCUCUGCCUAUUUGAUCCAUUCUGAAGGAAAGCAGUGAAUGUGUUGUGUGUGUGAGAGAAUAUGUAUGCCUUGUAAUUCUAGAAGAAAAUGUGUUACUUCCAAAUGCAAGUUAAACGCCAUUCCGUCUAUACUGAUACCAGACAAAUGCAUACUUACAAGUAUUUUCAAAUGUAUUUCCAAUAUACUGCAAUGCUAUGUAGCUGAAGAGUGGUGACACUGUUUAGAUAGGAGUGUCAAUUAGUUUCUGGAGGUCUGUGUUCACUGGCAAUUCCUCUCACUUCUGCAUCAAAUCAACCUCUACAAUAUAUAUUCUACUUAUUUUAUUACAAAUAUAGCAGUACACAGUCCUCCAUAAAUAUAUUGACAAUGACACAUUCCUGUGUAUUGGAUCCUCUGUACAUAGAAAAUCUAGGAAUAACAAAUAGGAAUGACAUUUGCCAUUGCUACUAACUUGUACUUGUUCAAAGUAUAAUUAAAGAAAUGUAAAAAAAAAUGUAGUAAUUUGUCACGCACUUAUGGUCCAUAUAUAUAGCGUUUUAAUUGAACCAUGUGUAGUACAUUAAGAGACAAUGACAAAUUCUUGGUUCAACAAGACAACAGUCAUCAAAAGGGUAGAAAUGUAGCAUUGUACUUGUGUCACAGUACUUUACAGCUUUGAUUGGAUUCAUAUACUAUAUGACAAAGGGUGAUAUAAAUAUCUGAAUUACUGUAGAUUUGAAUAGUUUAAGAGUGAAGUAUGGUUAUAAGUCGAAUGCGAAGAAAGGUCGUUAUGAAAGAGGUAAUUGGUGUUAUUCAUAUACCAUUCUCAUACUCAAAGUCAAUAUACUGAACAAAAAUAUAAACACCACAUAUAAAGUGUUUGUCCCACAUUUCAUGAACUGAAAUAAAAGAUCCCAGAAAUGUUCCAUAUGUAC